ACUAGGAUUCUAGACUAAAUAUUACAAGUUUUCUAUAUGUUACCUUAAUUGGUUGCAUAUAGUAGCUAGUAAGUUUACCUUGAAAAAAUUAGAGUGCUCAAUGCGGGCUUAAUGCCUGAAUACUCGUGCAUGGAAUAAUAAAAUAGGAUCUUGGUUCUAUUUUGUUGGUUUUCUGAUCUAAGAUAAUGGUUAAGAGGGACGGACGGGGGCAUUCGUAUCGCUACGUGAGAGGUGAAAUUCUUGGACCGUAGCGAGACGUACAACUGCGAAAGCAUUUGCCAAGAAUGUCUUCAUUAAUCAAGAACGAAAGUCAGAGGUUCGAAGGCGAUCAGAUACCGCCCUAGUUCUGACCGUAAACGAUACCAACUA
rnacentral:rRNA from 1 species